CCAAAGGCUCUUUUCAGAGCCACCUAAUCUUUCAAAGGAAAAGCUA
rfam:Tupaia chinensis contig173168, whole genome shotgun sequence.